CCACCUUUACUUGAUAUCGGAAUACAAGAAAUCCACUUCCCGUACUCAAUAAAUGAUGGCAAUCCUUGCUCGCGACAAAUGAAGCUAAAAUGAGGUUUUCCUCAUUAGCUUGCCGGGAGUUCGUCAGAGCAUUGAUCCAAGCUUUCCAACGCCCCAGUUUUACCCUCAAUUAGGUUUCCACGCGAUUAAUUUCAAGCUGGGGCCUCAAUCCUACAAGUUAACAUUUUUGAAUUAGAAUUCCAUACAAUCUGCCACUAUACAGAUUUUAUAAGGGUUUAUAGGGUAAUAUGAACUCUUAUAAUUCAAAAACUUCAACCAAUUAAUUUAGGAAUACCAGAAAUGAAUUCCUGUUAUUCUCAUUUCUAUAGCUUCACAUCAACCCAAGAGUUUACACACUACAUUCAACAUAUAGCUUUUCUAUAGGUUCUUAUGGCAAUUCCCGUUUUAGAAAUCCAUAAUCCCAUUGUCUACUCCCUCUUUAAGUUAAACACCAUGAACUAUAAUUAGGAAUUAUGUCUCUUCCAUCUCAGGUUUCAUUCCCAAUAACCAAUUCACACACGCGCGCGCGCGCGCACAGAUAUAGAUAUAUAUAGAUAUAUAUAUAUAUAUAUAUAUAUAUAUAUAUAUAUAUAUAUAUAUAUAUAUAUAUAUAUAUAUAUAUNNNNNNNNUAUAUAUAUAUAUAUGCUGUCCAUGCAUAGUUCUCUAGGAUUUUCCAUGAUAGCAUAUGCUUUAGUACUCAAUACACCCAAGCCAAAUCCAUCUCAGGAUUAAUACCAUCCUCCUUAACAAAAGAACAGUGUAUAAUUACCUUAGGUUUAAUGCUUCAACGGCUAAUUACUUCCCAGCUUAUGAAGUCCCUCAUGCUCCGCAUACAGCGUAAUCCAACUCCAAGCCUCAAUACUUCAAAGACCACAAACUAAAUAGUGCUAAGGGAUAUACUUCAAACCCAGAUUAAGAGCCUAACAAAACCUUCCUUGCAGCCGCACAAUGCUAUACGACAUCCACAACACUCAUUUUCCUCAGGUUUCACGCUUCUCCAACUGGGUUCCCUGCUGCUGAAAUUCUUCGCAGCUCAAAACACCCAAAAUCUGCCAAUUUCCUCACUAAGCUCCAACCUCAGCUUAGAGAGAAAAAGAGCAAGAAAGAGAUAAGGAAAAAGAGAGGAGAGUCGAGCUAAUCCCUGCAGGAAAAUACCCUGCGUCCCCCCGCUCAGAAUCUUCCUCGCAGCUUCACUCUCCAAAUCCCUCAAGGAUCUGCCUCAUAAACCCUCUCUUAUGGUUUAGAGAGAAAAGGAAAGGAGAGGAAAAGAAUAAAGCGAAAAGAGAGAGAGAAA
rnacentral:lncRNA from 1 species